CCGUUGACCUGUACUGUUGCGCAUUUCUUUGUGAUUGUGUAUCUGAAGCGAAAACAUUUUCACACAUAAACCAAUUACGUUGAAAAGUCACAUACACACACAUACACUCCAAAAUGACUAAAUUCUACUUUGGAUGGAGAGAUGUUAGCUUAUUAAUCGGUUGGAGUUCAUUAAUUUUCAGUGCUAUGACAUUGUUUUGGAAAUUUGAUGACCAUUUUCUAUCGGCAUUACUUGUGCUAAACAUGGUGUCUAGUAUCAGUUGGCUAUGCGGCACUUUUUAUUACAAACCCAUACUUAUGUUACUUCCAAUGGUCUGGAGUGUGCUUUUUAUAGGCUACCUUUUUUGCUAUUUAUUUAUAUCCAAAGUUAAAAAUGUGUAUCUAAAUUUAUGCUAUUUGGUUGCAUUUACCUUGACAUUUUACAUUUUGGUAGUCUUAAGCUAUGCAGCAAUCACAGAAUCAACACAAGAUAUAAGUACCAAUGAAAUAAAUGAUCAUCAAAUGCAGGGAUUAUGUGAGAUAUCCGACAAGAAUAAUACUGAGGUGAAAAAGAAGUCAAAGAAAAUUACGUUCGGUGAAGUAUACACGAUUACAAUCACGUAGUAAUAUUCAAAGGCGAUCUAUUCUAAAGCGAUGCCAUAAAAUUGUAUACUCAUAAGAAUUAUUGAAUUUUAAGACAAAAGAUAAUUUUAAGAAGAUUGCUUUUUCAACUAGGGGGUAGACACGUGGAAUAGGAUUAGACUUUCAGUGUUAUAAUUCAAGAAAUUAAAGUGGAAUAGACAAUUCAGU